UUAUCGCCAUUGGAGCGGCCCGCGUCUGAUUAGCUAGUUGGUAGGGUAAAGGCCUACCAAGGCUACGAUCAGUAGCUGGUCUGAGAGGAUGAUCAGCCACACUGGGACUGAGACACGGCCCAGACUCCUACGGGAGGCAGCAGUUAGGAAUCUUGCGCAAUGGGCGAAAGCCUGACGCAGCCAUGCCGCGUGAAUGAUGAAGGUCUUAGGAUUGUAAAAUUCUUUCAGCGGGGACGAUAAUGACGGUACCCGCAGAAGAAGCUCCGGCUAACUUCGUGCCAGCAGCCGCGGUAAUACGAAGGGGGCUAGCGUUGCUCGGAAUUACUGGGCGUAAAGGGCGCGUAGGCGGACAGUUUAGUCAGAGGUGAAAGCCCAGGGCUCAACCUUGGAACUGCCUUUGAUACUGGCUGUCUUGAGUUCGGGAGAGGUGUGUGGAACUCCGAGUGUAGAGGUGAAAUUCGUAGAUAUUCGGAAGAACACCAGUGGCGAAGGCGACACA
rnacentral:rRNA from 1 species